UUCGCAAUGCCCGAAAGGGUGACGAAGCGACGCCGCGUGCGGGAAGAAGGCCUUCGGGUUGUAAACCGCUGUCGGGAGUUAGGAAAUGCAAGGAUGUUAAUAGCAUUCUUGCUUGACUAAGGCUCCGGAGGAAGCCACGGCUAACUCUGUGCCAGCAGCCGCGGUAAUACAGAGGCGGCAAGCGUUGUUCGGAAUUAUUGGGCGUAAAGAGCACGUAGGCGGCUGUGUAAGUCGGUUGUGAAAGCCUUCCGCUUAACGGAAGAACGGCAUCUGAUACUACAGGGCUUGAGUACGGGAGGGGAGAGUGGAACUUCUGGUGGAGCGGUGAAAUGCGUAGAUAUCAGAAGGAACACCGGCGGCGAAGGCGACUCUCUGGUCCGUAACUGACGCUGAGUGUGCGAAAGCUAGGGGAGCAAACGGGAUUAGAUACCCCGGUAGUCCUAGCCGUAAACGAUGGGCACUAAGUAGAGGGGUUUU
rnacentral:rRNA from 1 species